UCCCAAACGGCUCGUUGGUAAAGAAUCUGCCUGCAAAGCGGGAGACCCAGGUUCGAUCCCUGGGUUGGGAA
rnacentral:tRNA from 1 species